UCAAGCCGAUACAAUGAUGCUUUCUGGCAUCACCUUUCUUUGGAAGUGGUUAGUCUGGUUGUUCACUCUACACAUCAGCUGCAGCUUAGCACAAACGACAAUAUCAAUACAACUACCUUUCCAGUUCACACAGCCAAUCUACAAUGCCAGCAUUUACGAGAACUCGGUGGGGAAAAUCUAUGUCCAAUCAACGCGGAAAAUGGGAAUACCCGUCCGCGAUUCCUCACUGGAUGUUUCCUUCUCGAUAAUAAAACGAGAUGAUGAUAGUAUUUUUAAAUUAGAAGAAUUAUUCAUUGAAGACUUUUGGUUUCUUAGGAUACGAACUAACACAGGAAUUCUCCCCGGAAAAUUAAAUCGGGAGCUUCAUGAUCAUUAUACCCUAUACAUCAAAGCCAUGGCACAGAACCUGGCAGGCCUUAUAUUCGAGGCUGAUGCUAUUGUAUAUAUAUCUGUCCUUGAUAGGAAUGACUUAAUGCCUAUAUUUUAUAAUCCUCGAUACAAUAUAACGCUUAGUGAAGACACAGCAGUGCACAAACGCAUAACACGGGUGAGUGCAUCUGAUGCAGAUAUAGGAAUAAAUGCUGAAAUCUAUUACAGUUUUGUUGAAGCCACUAAUACAUUCGCUAUCCAUCCCACAACUGGAGUUAUCACACUCACACGCCCAUUAAAUUAUCAGGAACGAAGCGAAUAUGAACUCGAGAUCCUUGCCAGUGAUCGCGGCCACAAAAUCAGUCAUAGCCAGAGCAUGUCACGAGGUCGUGCUAAAUUGUUCGUCACAGUUCAACAAGUUAACUUAUAUCCCCCAGAAUUCUCAGUUGAAAAUUUACCAUCUUUGGUGGAACAUGGCAACAUCGGAACUGUUUAUGCCAUUGUUCGUAUUGAAGAUCAGGAUACUGGUAAUAAUGGCAAGUUAAAUAUGCCACAGAUCAUCGAUGGGGACCCCAAUGGUUAUUUCAUGUUAAAAGCCGGUAAAUCUCGAGAAGAAUUCCUCAUUAUAGUCCAAGAAAACCUUGAUCGAGAAGACAGCCCCGACGGUUUCAAUUUAACCCUUUACGUUUCUGAUCAAGGAACACCAAGUCUAAAUUCUACAAUAGUGGUCCCAGUGGACAUUCAAGACAUGAACGACAAUUCUCCAGUUUUCAGUCAAGCCAUUUACGAGGCCAGUAUUGAUGAGACGGCAUUGGUCAAUUCUCCUGUGAUAUUUAUUAAGGCCGGAGAUGCCGAUGCUGGCAAAAAUGCCAAAGUUCAUUACACCAUAACUGGCGGCAACGUAGAUGGCUACUUCCAGAUAGAUCCCAUAUCUGGACUGAUCACGACGGCGUCAGUGCUGGAUGCAGAGACGGUAUCUGAUGUGGAACUUGAAGUGUGCGCCGAGGACGAAGCAAACUCUGGAGCCAGGAAAAGUGGUGCUGCAAUUGUGCACAUAGAUAUCAAGGAUUGUAACGACAACACCCCAGUGUUUAACAGCACAGGUGAUAUCUUUUAUGUGGAUGAAAACUCUCCAAUUAGUAGCAUUGUCGGCCAGGUGACCGCUACAGACAUCGACAAAGACGAAAAUGGCUAUUUCAGUUUGACCAUUGCUAAUAUCAACAAGGUACCAUUUGAAAUCGAACCAUUUGCAGGGCAUUUGAAGUUGACCCAAGUUCUUGAUUAUGAAUCCAUGAAGGACUCCUACAUCCUCAAGAUCCGUGCUUCCGACUGGGGCAGUCCAUUUCGCCGAGAAGCAGAAACACAAGUUACAGUUAAGGUCCGCGAUGUGAACGACAACAAGCCCCAGUUUGAAAGCCUGUCGUGCAUGGUUUACGUGUCUUCGGACAUCGAGAACGACACUGCCCUGUUGGUUGUUUCAGCCAUUGACUUAGAUAUUACGAGUAUUGUUAGUUACAGCAUUGAUAAAGGGAAUGAAAAGAACUACUUCUCCAUUCACACGGAACGGGGCGAUAUAUUUUUGAGUGUUCCGACAACUGAGUUGCUUGAGAGUAAAUUCACUCUGGCCAUUGGUGCAACAGACGGCGUUCAUGCUGCCGAUCCUAUGGAAAUGACCGUUGUUAUUGUAAAUAAAGAGGAAGCAGAUAGACAACUCUUAGACAACUCAGUGUCAUACAGUUGCCAAAAAUCUAAUGCCACCAAAGUUCUUGAGAAAAUGCUUUUAAAGAAGCAGAAAGACAACGAAAGUAACCAAGAUUUAAUGGCUGAAAUGCCAGAUGAAUAUCGGUACAACAUCAACCCUCCAGAGUUUGCUUACGAUAUGCCGACUAAUAUUACCAUCAGGGAAGAUAAACCCGUCACUUUCAGCAUCUUAGAAAUCCCCGUUUCUGACAGUGACCCAGGCUAUAAUGGUAAACUUACUUAUGUUUUAUCAAAGGGAAAUGAGCAGGGUAAGUUUUCCAUUAGUAACGAAGGAAAAUUGUACAUAUUGUCUGAGUUAGACCGAGAGAAGAAGGAUAUCUAUGAAUUGGUCAUCACAGCCGCUGACCUUGGCAAACCAAGCAAAACGGCUUCGAGAAAUAUCACUGUGACCGUCUUGGACGUCAAUGAUUGCUCACCAGUUUUUGAAAGGAACCAUUACGCUGUCAAUGUAUCAGAAAACAUCAACCUCAAUGCCACCAUCACACAGGUUUACGCCACUGAUGAUGACACGGGGCAAAAUUCCGAGAUUCGAUAUACCAUCAUAUCAGACACUGACGAGUUCAAAGUCGACAACCAUUCCGGAAUAAUCCGAGUGAAUGCAUUGUUGGAUCGAGAAAGACAAGAGGUUUAUAAUGUUUUAGUCCAGGCCAGUGACAAGGGCUCGGAAAUAUCUCUGUCAUCGACAACGACCGUGACUAUACAUGUAACAGAUAUAAAUGACAAUUUACCGAAAUUCUCUCCAGAGAUUUACGACAUCAAGAUCCGAGAAGACUUGCCAAUUGGUGCUGUGGUAACCACGCUGACGGCCUACGAUCCAGAUCUUGGGCCUGGUGGGGAAGUAACUUACAGCCUAAUUUAUGGCACAGAUGGUAAAUUUGAAAUUGAUGAAAUUACAGGAACGGUGAGAGUGUCACAGAAAUUGGAUUUCGAACAGAAACAAGUAUACAACAUAACAGCCCAAGCUCAGGAUAAUGGCGAUUCACCUCUUUUGUCAUCAUGCUUUAUCAACAUCGAGGUGAUUGAUGUGAAUGAGAAUUUGUACCCACCUGUUUUUAGUACCUUCGUUGCUAUCGGUUACGUUCGUGAAGACGAACCGAUCGGCACAGCUUUCAUGCAAGUUUCUGCUACAGACGCAGAUGCCCCGGAAGAUGAUCUUACACCUAUAAUGUAUUCCAUACGAGAUGGUUCUGGAUUAGGACGUUUUACCAUUGACAAUAAUGGGACAAUCCGUACAGCUCAAGUCCUCGACAGGGAAACAGUGUCCCAUUACUGGCUCACUGUCUACGCUCAGGAUAAAGGACUGGUCCCCCUGUACGGCCAUCAGGAAGUAUUAAUCCGUAUCAAUGACACGAACGACAAUGUCCCACAGACCGAGGAACCUCUUUAUAAUGCAUCCAUUCCAGAAAACAGUGGCUCUGGCAUUGGCAUAAUAAGAAUUCAGGCGUACGACCUCGACACUAGUCUCAAACAGAACCUAACAUUUGCAAUCACCGGUGGAAAUUCUGAUCGUUACUUCAGCAUAGAUUCGUUAACAGGUCAAAUCUUCACUGCAAGCCGCAAACUGAACCGCGAAUCAAAAGAAGAGCAUAUACUGACGGUCACAGUGAAAGACAACGGGGUCCCCAACUUGAGCUCAUCAACCCAAGUCAUCGUUCACAUUGAAGACGAGAAUGACCAUGCCCCAGAAUUUAUCAACAGCCCUUACCGUCUUCAGGUGCCUGCUUCUCCAAAGGGUACCAAACUGUUCCGUGUGAUGGCCAAAGACAUCGAUGUGGGCAACAAUGCAGAAAUCACUUACUCCAUAAAGAAGCGGAAAGUACAACGCUUCAUGAUUGACCCAACAACUGGUAUAAUUUCAUGUCAGGAAGACCUCAUAGCUGGAUCCAAUUUUGAAUUUAUUGUAAAAGCAACAGAUCAUGGAAGUCCAGCCUUGAAGUCUACUACAAAAGUAAAGAUCAAAGUGGUCAAAGUGAAGAAGUACUCAACAAACCCGCCAUUGUUUAAUAAGAAGCAUCUGUCUGAGGAAAUUAUGGAGAAUGACCGAGUUGGCAAAUGGAUUGUGCUAGUCCAGGCCUUUGAUAUGGAUAGGGACAAGAUUUGGUAUUCUAUCGAGGAUGGUAAUGAAGACCACACAUUCAGCAUUGGCCCAGAAGAUGGCAUGAUAUUUAUAGCCCGUAAACUAAACUGGGAGGUAAAGAAUCACUACAAUUUGACCAUUAAAGCUACAGAUGGACAGCACCAGGACUUUGCAUGGCUUGAAAUCAAGGUCCUGGAUGUAAACGACAAUCCACCAAUAUUUGACAAGAAAGAAUAUAUUGGCCAGGUUUAUGAAUCUGUCGCUAUUGGUAAACAGGUUCUGCAAGUGUCUGCUACUGACCAAGAUAAUGGUAGACUCUUCUAUUCCUUGUCUUCAGCAACAAACCCUGCAAGCAAGUCGAAAUUCCACAUCGAUUCAGAAACUGGUGUAAUACGAGUGAAGGAGAAAUUGGAUCGUGAAGUCCUGGCUCGGCACGAGUUGGUAGUGAUGGUGAGAGACCAAGGUUUACGUUCCAAACGCAACAUGUGCCGUGCUGUCAUCAUGGUACUCGACAACAAUGACCACAGCCCAGAGUUUUUAUCCGACAUAUUUGAAGGCCGAGUAUUCGAGACCGCAGCUAUAGGCACUUCCGUCCUCCAAGUCGUAGCUGCUGACCAGGACAAAGGAAUUAAUGCAGAGAUACGCUACAGUAUUUUAUCAGGGAAUACAGGAGGUGCUUUUGCCAUUGAUGAUACCAUGGGAACUAUAACUGUGGCGAAACAGUUGGACCGAGAGGGUCAGUCUGAUUAUGUUCUGUCUGUGCUGGCCACUGACUUCGGUUCUCCACAACUCAGCAGUACUGGAACUGUCCACGUAUCGGUGACUAUUUCAAAUAAUGCACCCCCAAAGUUCCCUCACAAGGAGUACGUGAAAGAAAUCCCUGAGAACGAACCCGUUGGAGUGAUUGUGUCGACAGUGGUCGCCGACAGCAGGUCGUCUGUCGUGUACUCAAUCACCAGCGGAGAUCCAAAGGAGAUGUUCCGGAUCAAUCCCAACUCGGGAGUUUUAUCAACCAACAAAAUCUGUGACUAUGAGGAGCAAAUCUUUUAUAACCUGACAGUAACUGCCAUGAACAUCAUUGGUCGGUCAACCAGCUGUUCCGUUCUGAUUCACAUCAUUGACAAGAACGACAACAAUCCAGUCUUUGAGAAAGAACUUCACCAUGGAUUUAUCAUAGAACAAGCACUGGUUGGUUCUAUAGUUCUCAACGAAGAUAGGUUUCCACUCGUCAUCAAAGCGACUGAUGCUGAUAGCGGCAUGAACUCACUUCUACAGUACGAAAUUGUUGAAAACAAGAUACAGUCUGUUUUUUCAGUCGACAGUAACACCGGAGCCAUUCGAACAGCAAGCUUACUCGACCACGAGGUGUUGGCCGACUAUGAGUUCACGGUGCGUGCUUUUGACCUCGGCAGACCUCACCUUCUAGCCUUGGAAUCGUCCCGGGUUAAAAUCCACGUUCUCGAUACAAAUGACUCACCACCCAAAUUCUCUCAGGAUGUCUACAAUGUCUCUCUGCUUCUACCAACAUUCAGAGAAGUUGCUGUUCUUGCGUUGAAUGCCACCGACCCAGACACCGAGGUCGGCAGCAAACUGACGUACAAGAUAGACGAGGGCAAUGAGGAUGGCACAUUUGAACUUCAGCCAGACACUGGGGUACUUUAUGUCACUAAUGACACCGACAUCGGCAGUGUGUACGACUUGACCGUCUCUGUCAGUGACGGAGUAUACGAAACAUCCGCUGAGAUCUUCAUAACAGUCCUACGAAGCAACGAAACUAGUUUGGUGUUUACGAAAAACGAUUACCAGGUGGAAGUGAUGGAAAAUGUUGCCACAAACCAGUCUCUAACAGUUCUACAGUUAACCGGCUUGAUUCUCAACCAGCAUGUCACCUUCAAGUUGUUAAACCCCAACAGUAUGUUCACGAUUGGGACCACCUCUGGUGUGCUACACACAAUCGGCAAACCUUUUGACCGAGAGAAGCGAUCAAGCUAUAGAUUAGUGGUCGAAGCUCGAGAUUCUCAACAAGAGCCAAGAUAUGCUCGUGCCAUUGUCCAUGUAGAAAUUGCUGACCAGAAUGACAAUCCCCCUAUCUUUGUGAACCAACCUUACAAUUCUGUGAUUUCAGUCGAGUCAAAGAUAGGAGACCUCAUCAAACAGAUUUCAGCAGUGGACAAAGAUAUUGGCAGAAACAAAGAGCUGUCCUUCAGAAUCGUUGCCGGUAACAACCAGAGCCUCUUCACCAUCAAUAAUGUCACAGGACACAUCAGAGUCAACAAAAUUUUAAAAGACUAUGAAAAUCAAGAAUUCCGGUUGAUAGUUGAAGCGGCAGAUAAUGGUGAAAUUCAGCAGAUUUCACGCUGCAAGGUGCCUAUCAAGAUCAUAACAAAGGCAACUCCAUUAUUUGAGAAACAAUUCUAUAACAUCACGGUUCCAGAAAACAUUGAACUUCACUCUCCAAUUCUCAGUCUACAGGCCGUUAGUCCAAAUGGGCAAAAGUUGGUCUAUUCCAUCACAGGUGGAGAUGUCUUCCAUGAAUUUACAGUAGAUUUCAACACAGACAUGGAAGUUCUAGGCCCGUGCGUUGUGUCAGUGAUUGAUGUUCUGGACUACGAGAAGAUCAACCAGUACAACUUGACCGUCCGAGCUGCUGAUGUACUCACUGGUGUAUAUACGGAAGCUUUCAUUUCUAUCAACAUAAUGGAUGUCAACGACUGUAACCCAGAAUUUGUCAGUGAAGUGUACAGUGUUUCUGUAUCAGAAGCCAUUCUGAUAGGGAGUUCCGUGGUUCAAGUCAAGGCCAAGGACGAUGAUAGUGGCAUCAACAAGAUGAUAUUUUAUCGCCUUGCUCCAGCCGUUGGUGUAGAAGACGACACAAAAUACUUCCAGAUCAAUCCAGGCUCUGGUGUCAUUCACACAGUACUCCAGCUUGACCAUGAGAUCAAACCUGUCUAUAGAGUGUCCGCAGUGGCCACAGACAGUGGCAACCCAGCACGCAGUUCUUCGGUACUGGUCAACAUCCGUGUACUGGACCUCAACGACAAUGCUCCUACUUUCCCACAGUAUUACUAUGAUGUAACAAUCUCUGACCAAUCUUCAAGGAACCAGUUCGUGACUAAACUUCACGCCAAUGACCCGGACAGUUCCAACGCUAAUUUGCUCCACUAUGCCAUCGCUGGCGGCAAUCACAGACAGACGUUUCAAAUCGAUGCUAAGUCGGGCAUUCUACGCCUCUCUCCAAACCGGUCACCAAGGCUGGAAUCCUUCUACGACCUCAGUAUCUCUGUGAUGGAUGGCGUGUUCACGAGUUACACCCAGGUGAGAAUCAACGUGAAGAACAGCAACAACCACGCUCCAUACUUCCCACAACAGUUCUACUCCUUCAAAUUCCCUGAAAACUACCCGAUUGAGGUUCUAAUUGGGACCUUAACUGCAGUUGACCAAGAUACUGGUUAUUAUGGUCAGCUCAGCUAUUCCAUUAUUAGUCAGUCGGCCCAAAAGAAUUUCAGAAUCGAUGCUGACACAGGAGAAUUAUUUUCUUUGAUCCAAUUUGACCGUGAGAAAGAAUCUAAAUACAUGAUUCCUGUAGCUGCUGAAGACAGUGGUGGUAGAAUGGGCUUUACCACCGUCUAUGUACAUAUUAGCGACCAAAAUGAUAAUCUACCUCAGUUCUACAUUCGUGACUACAAAGCUUCAGUUUAUGCCAAUUCUUCCAUCGGAACCAGCAUCGUCCAGGUAAAAGCUCUUGAUCCAGAUGAAGGUAAAAAUGGCGAGGUUGUCUACUCUUUAUACCUAGAAGAUGACAAUGAGGUGAUGCAGUUGUUUGCUAUUGACAACAGAACUGGGGUUUUAACUGUCAAGGGCAGCAUACGAGAAAAAGCAAACCAAGUCUACCAGUUUUUUGUGUCUGCCACAGACCAAGGGGCAUUGAGCCUUGAGAAUAACGUUCCAGUAGAAGUUGUUAUCAUGGGUGAUAAGGACAUCCCUCCACGCUUCCAGUCCAAGUCACAUUCACCGCAGGUUUACCACAUCAACGAGGUGGAGAACCUUUCCGAUGCUGUGUGCGUAGUUGAAGCAGAGGGACCCGAAGUGAUCGACUACAAGAUGAACUCUGGUUACACGGAGAAAACCAACAAUCCACCCACCUUUGCCAUCACCAGCGAAGGCCGAGUGCGUCUCAUUCGAUCACUGGACCGUGAAAGAUCCAAGGAUUAUAUAAUUACUGUGCAGGCCAUGACAACAACAACUCCACUCUUAGUUGACCAAACUGAAGUACAGAUACAUGUUGUUGAUAUCAACGACAAUGCACCGCAGUUUGACUCAAAGCCAUAUAGCAUUCGAGUGGCCGAGGAUACAAAACCAGGUUCAGUCCUCAUCCAAGUACAUGCUGUAGACAAGGAUGAUGGCCUAAAUGGUGAGAUCAUCUACAGAUUCGCUGAUGAAAACCCCGUGUGGGUCUCACAAUACUUCACCAUCGACGCGGACACUGGUCAGCUGAUGCUCGUGUCCAGAUUGGAUCGGGAGACACAAGACCGGUACAACCUAACGAUAGUUGCCGAGGACAAGGGCGAGAAACCGUUGUCCUCCCACAGCUACAUCAAGGUGGAAGUUACCGACGUCAACGAUGAACCACCCCGCUUCAAACAGAAGAAAUACCUGGCCUCAGUUAACGAGGACGCAGCCCCUGGUACUGUGAUUUUUGCUGUCAACGCUACCGACAGUGACAUAGAAGACAACAGCCGUCUGACCUUCCACAUCACCGCUGAUGACCCGCUCGGACAGUUCCGUAUCAGUAGCACUGGUGACAUCAUUGUCAAUAAGAUGCUGGACCGAGAAACGAAAUCUCGUUAUGUCCUGGUUGUUACGGUCACCGAUGGCAAGUUUGUCUCCCAUGUCAAGGUCAGAGUUGACAUUCUCGAUGCGAAUGAUAACGACCCCAUAUGUUCAAAGAUGUUUGUAGCAAUCUUUAUCAAAGAAGACGACGCCCCAUCCACAUUCCUCAAAUUGUUCCGGGCCCACGACAAAGAUGAGAAAAACACCAGAAACUCCAGAAUCCAAUACCAUCUGAGUGGCAUGAACUCAGAUAUGUUUAGCAUGGGUGUCCAUACAGGUGUACUGACCAUCAGGAGUCCACUUGACCGAGAACAACAAGAUGAAUACCAUCUUACAGUCCAUGCAGUAGAUGGUGGUGGCCGUUCUUGUACCACUGAUGUUUUAAUCAGUGUCCAAGACAUCAACGAUAAUGCCCCACAAUUUUCCAUACCUCUCAGGAAUGUCUCUAUCCCUGAAGACGCCCAAAUCAAUACUUUGAUAACGCGUCUAACAGCAACUGACCGAGAUGCUGGUGUAAGUAAAGAAAUCAAGUUCCGUCUGAAGAAUCCUGAAGACGAUUUUCUCAACAUCGAUGAGAAAUCUGGGAUUAUCAGCCUUGCUAAGACUCUGGAUCGAGAGGUGAAAGACUUCUACAGCGUUGCUGUUAUAGCUUAUGACAAGGGAUUCCCUCGUAUGUCUUCUACUGCUACCCUCAACAUCCAUUUACUCGACGUGAAUGACAACCCCCCAGAAUUCGAGCACACCAUGUACAAAGGCGAGGUCCGUGAAGACAUUGGCAUUGGCAGAGUAUUGCAGGUGCUUGCUGCAAGCAAAGAUGUCGGUGUGAAUGCAGAAAUAUCUUACUACAUCAUCGCAGGCAACGAACAACAUCGGUUCAAGAUUGACAAAACCACAGGUGUCUUAUAUGUCAACAAACCUCUUGACCAUGAACUAACUCGAGAAUAUUUCUUGACAAUCGAGGCCCGAGACGGAGGAACGCCAUCGUUAAGCAAUACGGCAGUGGCAGCAAUCAAUGUCACUGACAUCAACGACUGCCCUCCACACUUCUCGCAAGACGUCUAUUCCAUCCGACUUCUUGAGUCCGAACCUGUUGGUAACACAAGCCUGAGAAUCGUGGCAGCUGAUGCAGAUAGUGAACCAAACGCUAUGAUUACCUACAUUAUCAACAGUGGUGACAUAGCUGACCAGUUUGACAUAGAGCAGACCUUUGGAUACCUGAGCAUCAAAUCUGCAUUGGACAGAGAGAAAAUUUCCAGCUACAACCUCGAAGUCCUUGCUGUGGACAGUGGCUAUCCUCAGUUGACCGGUACAACAACACUCUCUAUUGAAAUACAAGACAUUAAUGAUUGUCCACCACGUUUUAGCCAGCCUGCAUAUUCUGUAGCUGUUCAGAAAAACUCUUUGGUCGAGGAUCGUCCAACAGGUUUUGACAUCUUAAAAUUCGAACUCACCGAUGAUGAUUUGCCACCAAAUGGCGCCCCGUUCUCGUUUGACAUUAUUUCAGGUGUUGGUAAGGAGAGGUUUCGAGUGGACAAUGAAGGCAAGCUGCUAACUGUCCGAGACCUCAACCAGAGCAUUAAGGACCGCUAUGAACUGACUAUUAGAGCCUUUGACAGUGGAAGCCCUCCUUUGUACUCCGAUGCAACUGUGACCAUUGAGGUAACUGAGGAGAGUACAGUGCCUCCCAAGAUAUCCAACCUGAAAAUCUCAAUCAACUCCUAUCAAGACAAAUUCCCUGGUGGGAUCAUUGGCAAAGUUUCCGCUGAAGACCCAGACAUUCAUGAUUCCCUUAAGUAUAGUAUUGUCUCUUCGAAUCUUCAUCUAUUUGAUAUUCAUGAGAACGAUGGCCGUAUUAUUGCGAAGCCAGGUCUAGAUGCCGGCCGGUAUGUCAUUGAUGUGAAAGUCUCAGAUGGUAGGUAUGAUUCUUAUGGCCAAGCUAACGUCGACGUCAGCGUUACCACUGAUGAAAUGGUCAAGAAUGCUGUAACCAUUCGUCUUGGUAAUAUCCAAGCUGAUGAUUUUUUGAGGCAGCAGUCUAGAAACUUCAUCAAGGUCUUGAAGAACGAAUUAUCUGUUCGGGCUAGAGACAUUGAAAUAAUCAGCCUGCAGCCGGCUGAUAUCAGCACAGGUGCACAGAGCAGGCGUAAGAGGUCUACAUCCGAAGAUCUUGAUGUUUUGUUUGCUGUGAGGAUGUCUCAUAAUAGUUUCAUCCGUGUAAACACACUACGAAGGAAAGUUCAGAAUGCUACCCCUAAAAUACAGUCAGCGCUCAACCUGAAAGUCAUGAAAGUAUUUAGUGAUGUCUGUGAGAAGGACACAUGUGAUACGGGAUCGUGCAUUGGCUUUGUGGACUUUGACAAGGAAAAUCCUAUUGUUACUGAGAUUGGCGAACAAAGUUUUGUCUCACUGAAGUACCGGUACACUUAUGAGUGUAAAUGUCUUGAUAACAAAUGUAUAUGGGACCCAGACCCCUGUAUUGGUCACCAAUGUCCACACUACAAAGUGUGUAAAGCUUCUGAUGUGUCUGGGCCACAGUGUGCCUGCCCAGAGGGCAAGACUGGGCUGUACUGUGACAAGGACUUACCCCCAGACUGUGCUCAACAUGGAUGUUAUCAUGAUAAUAAACCUUUAACAUUUGCUGGCCGUAGCUUUGCUCGAUGGACGUUGGUGGACAAACACGGCUUUGAAAACAGAUUAAGUGUUUCAUUGAGGAUAAAGACUCACCAGAAAAAUGCCAACCUCAUGUUUGCUAGUGGUUCUGUGGAUUAUAGUAUUCUUGAGCUGGACAAUGGCAUGGUACAGUACAGGUUUGAAUGUGGCAGUGGUGUUGGAAGAGUGCAGCUACCCAGGAAAAUCAGUGACGGUGAAUGGCACACCAUAUUUGUUGAGCGCUUAGGCAAGACAGCUACAAUCAACCUGGACGGCCGUUACACGGCUUGGUCGAGCGCUCCAGGUGAACACGAUGUCCUCAAUCUGGGCAGCAACAACAUCUAUUUCGGCGCUGAAGUUGAGACGUUCCCCAACGGCUACCGCAACAUCAAGCGGGGCUUCGAAGGGUGCAUGGAAGACCUGCGCCUACACAGCAUCCGUUUGCCAUUCACUGAUCGCAACGCUGUAGCCACCUCACAGGAAUUUCAUAAGAUUGAGUUUAACUGCAAGAAUAUGUGGGAGAAAAAUGAAAAUGAUCCUUGUUCCAACUUCCCAUGCCUCAAUGGCGGUCGGUGUAUCCCAUCCAGCCACAAGAGCUACACCUGCGUGUGUGGUUCACGUUUCCAAGGACUGAAGUGUGAAGUCGAUACCAAUCCAUGUGCAGAUAACCCAUGUCUAAAUGGAGGUACCUGUCGUAACAACCCUGUUUUACCCAAUGAUUUCUGGUGUAAAUGUGUUGGUGGACUUAAGGGACGACGUUGUGAAUAUGGCCACCACUGCGCUGUCAAUCCUUGCAGGAAUGGUGCCAAUUGCAUUGAAGGACCAGACAAACCUAUUUGCCAAUGUGUUGGACUUUAUGAAGGCCCACUUUGUCAAUAUGAGUCUGAUAAGUGUGCCAACAAUCCUUGCAAGAAUGGUGGCACCUGCUACAAUGGACCUGGCACUUAUUUCUGCAACUGCAGCAUUGACACAGUCGGAACGCACUGUGAAGAAAUCCUUCUUCCAAAUAUCUCAUCUAAUAAACAUGGAAUCACAGAGAAUGAAAUCUUCAUCAUAAUUGGUGCCUUAGCAUUCCUGAUCGUAAUAGUAAUCAUUCUGAUUGCCAUUCGAUUCUGGUACCAGAAGAAGCAAUCUCAUCGCCGGAUUCUUGCCCCAAAUCCCCGCUUGGCCAACAACGUGAUCAUGAGCGACCCAGAUGACCUGAAACAUUCCAAACUCAGCAACCCGGACCUGCACCUCGGCAUAUCACACUGCCCGCCCAGCCCUCAACCGCCCCCGGUGCCGAACCGACCAGCCUCCUAUACGCCGAGCAAUCACGACUCGUCUCUCAACACGCUGAACAACUUCGACACGGUGCGGAACUAUGGCAGCGCCGCGGACCAGCUGGAAAAUGUGCACAACAUUCCCGUCUACUCGUGCGACCACCUGCAGACGUUCAGCCCGUAUCCGCGCAAUGGCGCAAGUGUGCCGCCAUCGCUCCCACCACCCCCUCCGUCGAACUCAGCAUCCGACACAGACUCUAUACAGAAACCAACCUGGGAGCUUGAUUAUCCAAACAUUUUGGAAAAUUAUACGGAAUCAGAAAGGAAAAAUUCCAUGAACUUGGCCAAAGCCAUGCCUAUACAAGACCCUUCUCCUCUUUUCCACCGCAACCUUUCUGGACGAGAUACUUCAUCUUAUGGCAGUCUACCGAUGACUGGGUCAGAAGAAGACCUUCCUGUGAAUCGGGAUAAAAGAAAAGAUGGACAUCAUACAUUUCGGAAUACCUUUGGUAAAAUUCUCAAGGACAACAAAAUUCGUGAAGGCUAUCAUUGGGACACCUCAGACUGGGCGGCUCCACACACCACGUUACCAAACAUCAGUGAGGUACCAGUGAAAGAAAUUUUGGAUUCUCCAAGCUCCACUCCACAGAGUAACGACUCAAACACGCACGUAGAUGAUGUCAACGAUGCUGAUAUGGACGAUAUGGAUAAUGACUCUGAAUAUUGCGGGGAUUACGAAUGUGGCGAUAACGACGAUGACAACAAUGCUGCUGACUUCCAUCCUGCUGCCAACUUCCACCAUUUCCUUGAUUUAGCGCCUUAUGCCGAUGGGGUCAACGAAGGACCCCAGCGGUUCCAUCCUAACUUCAUGCCGGACUUCGACCAGCCACCUGGUGGUGCUGCCCUCGACAACUGGCCAGCUCCACCGGGCGCUGAAAACGGCAACCAGCCUCCACAUAGUGAUGAAGAGGAGAACAGCGAGAGGUGCCGGUUGCGGCGUCACCUGCGUAGGGGUGCCGCUCUCGCCAGGUACCCUCCACUUGAUGCCAGCGACUAUGAACAUUCAACGGCAGCAAUGGCGGACGACAUGAGUGUGUCGGUGGGCGGCUGUACAUCGACGAAUGUCUCUUGCUCCGACAUUUCUGGACUCUGUGACAUUGAUGACAGUGAUAUGAACAUAACAGACGAGAGUGACAAUGACAUCCAUCCUGUGAAGUUUAACAGCGCUCACCUUCACACCCAAGUGUGAAGUUCUUCGCCUCUUCCUACCCCCAUCCUGUGCUCACCUUCACAGCCAGGUGUGAAGUUCUCUUCUUCUUCCUAACAUCCCAGCUCUCUACUUCACAUCCAGGUGUAAAAGUUAUACAUAUAUAUAUAUAAAUAUAAAUAUAAACACACACACACAC
rnacentral:misc_RNA from 1 species